rnacentral:rRNA from 1 species
AAUACCGCAUAAGCGCACAGAGCCGCAUGGCUCAGUGUGAAAAACUCCGGUGGUGUAAGAUGGAUCCGCGUCUGAUUAGCUGGUUGGCGGGGUAGAAGCCCACCAAGGCGACGAUCAGUAGCCGGCCUGAGAGGGUGAACGGCCACAUUGGGACUGAGACACGGCCCAAACUCCUACGGGAGGCAGCAGUGGGGAAUAUUGCACAAUGGGGGAAACCCUGAUGCAGCAACGCCGCGUGAGUGAAGAAGUCAUUCGUGAUGUAAAGCUCUAUCAGCAGGGAAGAAAAUGACGGUACCUGAGUAAGAAGCCCCGGCUAACUACGUGCCAGCAGCCGCGGUAAUACGUAGGGGGCAAGCGUCAUCCGGAUUUACUGGGUGUAAAGGGAGCGUAGACGGCCAGACAAGUCUGAAGUGAAAAUCCAGCGCUUAACGUUGGAAGUGCUUUGGAAACUGCCGGGCUAGAGUGCAGGAGGGGCAGGCGGAAUUCCUAGUGUAGCGGUGAAAUGCGUAGAUAUUAGGAGGAACACCAGUGGCGAAGGCGGCCUGCUGGACUGCAACUGACGUUGAGGCUCGAAGGCGUGGGGAGCAAACAGGAUUAGAUACCCUGGUAGUCCACGCGGUAAACGAUGAUUACUAGGUGUCGGGGGGCUAGAGCCCUUCGGUGCCGUCGC